rnacentral:rRNA from 2 species
AGCUUGCUCCCUGAUGUUAGCGGCGGACGGGUGAGUAACACGUGGGUAACCUGCCUGUAAGACUGGGAUAACUCCGGGAAACCGGGGCUAAUACCGGAUGCUUGUUUGAACCGCAUGGUUCAGACAUGAAAGGUGGCUUCGGCUACCACUUACAGAUGGACCCGCGGCGCAUUAGCUAGUUGGUGAGGUAACGGCUCACCAAGGCGACGAUGCGUAGCCGACCUGAGAGGGUGAUCGGCCACACUGGGACUGAGA